rnacentral:rRNA from 1 species
UUACCAGAAGUAGUUAGCCUAACCGCAAGGGGGGCGAUUACCACGGUAGGAUUCAUGACUGGGGUGAAGUCGUAACAAGGUAGCCGUAUCGGAAGGUGCGGCUGGAUCACCUCCUUUCAGA